rnacentral:rRNA from 1 species
CAAGCGUUGUUCGGAUUUACUGGGCGUAAAGGGCGCGUAGGCGGCGCCGCAAGUCGACUGUGAAAUCUCCGGGCUUAACCCGGAAAGGUCAGCCGAUACUGCGGGGCUAGAGUGCAGAAGGGGCAACUGGAAUUCUCGGUGUAGCGGUGAAAUGCGUAGAUAUCGAGAGGAACACCUGCGGCGAAGGCGGGUUGCUGGGCUGACACUGACGCUGAUGCGCGAAAGCUAGGGGAGCGAACGGG